UCUCUGCCCCUCCCCCACUAGUGCUCUCCUUCUCUCUAUCUCUCUUUCACUCUCUGUCUCACUCUCUCAAAAAUAAACAUUAAAAAUAAACUUUUUUUUUAACUAAAAAAAAGAAACCACGUUCUCCAUUUGGAAAGAAAAUCCAGGCCAAGAAAAUGGUAUUAUCAGGUAGGGUUUGUUCUCAGUCCCUUUCCUCUGUGGAGGGGGGCUAUAGGGAUUGUGAGGGGAAUGAGGUAGGUGCAGUCAAAGGGGUCCUCAGUGUGGCCUUGGCAAUGGAGUUGAGACCUGCACUCCCUGAGUUUACUGAGGCCUUGCUUUGACUCAAGCAGAAGUCAGAAUCCAGUGGGAUAUAGAACACUUGGUAACGACCGCUGCUUGGGGACUGGGUGUCAGUGCCUUGCACAUUCACGUGACAGCUGAGACAGAGGCCUGAGGUCCAGCCCUCUCUUGGCUGCCCUUGGCCCUUUGUAGGGUUUUUGUUUUAAAUAAAUGAUGUUGUCACAGUUUAAUUGUGAACUUGGCAACAAUGUAGCCCCAUCUUUUUCAAGACUAAAACCAAAAAUGGUUUAAAAGGCACUAGGUGUCGUUGUUGCUGGCUUUCCUUUACCUCUCCUAUCUGUUUUCUCCCUCUUUCCUGUGUCGGAUGAUGGUGUAAAUAGCUCCCUUUGUCCAGUGGAACAAAGAAAAAAACCUGAUGGAAAAGACUGAGAAAAUUCAUCAUUUGAACCAUCUGAAAGUCUCCAGUUCCACGGCAGGAAGCACAUCUGCAGUCUGGUGUCACGACCGCCUCCGCCUGGUUCCGGAACCCCGUGUUACCCGGAACAGAAACCCCACACUCCUCUCCCCCGCCACCAGCUCCUGACAACCACUUGCCAGCUUUCUGUUUCUGUGAGUUUGCCUGUUCUGGAUAUUUUACAGAGUGGAUCGUACGAUACUUGUCCUUUCGUGUCCACGUUCUUUCGCUUGCCGUGUGUUCGCGAUUCGCCCACGGUGCAGCGUAGAUCAGUACCCUGUUCCUUUUCGUGGCUGAGAAUAUACCACUUUUCACUUUCCCGUUCAUCUGUUGAGGAGCGUCUGGACUGUUCGUCCUCUGGGCUCUUGUGGACGUUACUGCCGUGAACAUUCACGUACAGGUGUUUCUUUGGACACCAUGAGGUGGAGUUGUGGGUCCCGUGGUGAUUCUGCAUUUGCCUCACGGAGGAGGCAUGACGGGAGGACUCCCCUCCAUGACGGGAGGAGCUGCCCGGCUGUUCCCUAAAGUGGUUCCACCAGUUUUCAUUCCUACCAACGGUGUGCAAGGAACUGUUUUCUCUACACCCUUGACAGCCCUUGUCAUUUUCUGUCUUUUUCGUUCCCGCCAUCCCACCGGAUGUGUAGUUCGGGGAGCGGAGGAGUGGCUGUGUAUGCCUGGCUCGUGUUUGGCGGGCGACCUGGUGCCGGGUCUCCCCCGACGCGGCCCCACUGGCGCGCGUGUUUGGGUGGCAGUGAGGUGAUGCCCUGUCACCUGCGCCGGCCAUUGCACCUGGUCCUCUCUCUGUCUGGUCUGGGGUCUGUUUCUGUAUAUAUUUUCUCACUCUGAUUAUUUCUUUAAAAGUUACUUUUGAAGGAGCGUUUUCUAAACCGAUGCCUUCCUGGCAGGCAUAGUGUUGAUGGAUCACUUUGCUGUCACUCCUCCUGAAGCCCCAGGAGGUGGGGACGGAGCCGCUUGUGUGGCUUCCCUCUUUGUGCUUCGCCUGGGGCUGUGCUCAUAGACUUGCUCUUUACCAGACAUGAGUAAAAAGAGAACAAAGUCCAUUGGAAAGAUUGGAGACUUCUACAAGAGUUUGAAUCUUUCCCUCUGUUUUUGAAACGGCAGCUUGCUGAGUGAGCCGCAGAUCCAUAUAUUUAUGUAUCAGUUUGUGUUUUGUUUUUACUUUUUAUUUUUGAGAGAGAGAGAGCACGAGUGGGGGAGAGGGGCAGAGGGAGAAAAACAGAAUCCCAAACAGGCGUGAUGGGAGGCUUGAUCCCAUGACCCUGGUGCAUCAUGACCUGAGCUGAGAUCAAGAGUCAGACGCUCAACUGAGCCACCCGGGCGCCCUCAAUUUGUGUUUUCGGUCGGCACAGACUACCAAGCCAGUGAAGAUAAAAAGCCAUCCGGGAAAAAAAGCCACGUAAGCAUCCUGAAGCGUGAUUCUGGUGGCCAAGUUUAUAAGCGUCACACGGGGCAUGAUGGUGAUUCUUGCGAAUACGAGAAGGCAGGGGAUGAACUUAGUAGAGACUUCUUCGUGAAGUAAAUGGGUGGAGCCCGGAUGGGGGUAAGGAACGGUGUUUGUGCCUGGGGUGGCGGAGCCUGGGGGUGCCGUGCCGAUGAAGCCGGAGUUUGGUCGGGCCACCCCUGGCAACGGCCACGAGGGCUCAGACACAAGCCGUUUUCCGAGGCCGCAGCAACACACAGCCUCGGCUCGUGUGGCGCGCUGACAGGGGCGCUGUGUCCCGUCGGGUGCGGUGGGCACUGCGGGGUGGCGGUGGGCACUGCGGGGUGGCGUGUGCUCUCUGGACCCCUGUCCCUCCCUGUGAGCUCCAGCAGGUGGCCCGCCGGUGUGUUCCCUGUGUUCUGGGGCCGGGGUGCAGGAGGCCCUCAGUGGACAUGAGGUGGUCCCCGAGGACGGAGCCCUGCAGGCAGUGCCGCACAGCAUCCACGGAGAGAGCACCACGGCAGUGAGGAAAGCACAGUACACACGAUAACACAGGACACAAUUCACAAUACAAGAAGAAGGGACUUGCUGAAGGUCACAUGGCCACUAAGCAGAGGAUCAGACGGCGGCUGCCAGCAGCCACGUGUGGCUUUGAACCCGAGAUGUGGCCGGUCUCCAUGGAGCUGCGUCGUGGGCGUAAAAUGCAUGCUGACUUCGAAGACUCACUAGGAUACAAAGUGUGGUGCUUAAUAGCUUUGCCUAACCCAGGGCCAUGAAGAUAUAUCCCCAGUUUCUUACAAGUUUUAUAGUUUCAAUGCUUAAGUGGAGGUUAUUGAUACAUUUCGAGUUAACUUCUGUAUGUGGUGUGAGGUUCUUUUGGCUCUUCGGGGUCGCUGAAGUGUCACCUGAACUUGAGGGUUCAGCCAGCUGGGAUUCUGAUAGGGAUUGCCUUGAAUCUGAUCGAUUCGGGAAGUAUUAUUUGGAGCUCGUGUUCAGUCAUCAUGACUUGGCAUUUCCUCAGUCACCCUUGUUUCUCCCCCAGACCCUUUCGUCUGGGUUUUGUGCACGGGGGACAAAAGCAUGUCCACAGAAAAACAUUCCCAGGGCUUGGGCAGGACAGAGUGCUCAAUUUCCACAGAAGUUCUAAACGUGCGUGGGUCUCUUCUUCUGCUGACCCAGGGAGCGGCUGCAUCUGACAGUCCCCCGCCCGACUGCGUGUGUGCAGCAGCAGGGGCAGCUGAGAUGGAGGCCGGCGCUCCCUCCCCCUCUGCACAGUGCACUUACCUGCAAAGUCCAAGGUCGAAAGGCGAGACGUGUGGAGGCCGUGCCCACCUGCUCUGGCAGAUGUGCAAGACUCUGGUGGGGAUGCACUCAGGCUGUGUCCGGAGCACACAGCCCGUCACACUUGAUCUCUGUUGGCCCCUCCAGAACACAGGCCUUCUCCUGUGGGCUUGUCCAGCCGCAGCCCUGACGUUUGUGCAGUUUAGCACCCCACGCGCUGGUGGCCUGAAUCUGCAUCGUCCCCGGGUCUGAGGCCCGCCUGGGGCCUUCUGUCAGCCCCGUUCUGCUGAGGCCGAAACUCCCACAGCCACUAGUGUCUGGUCUCUGCUUGGGGGCCAGUCCAGACAAGACCUUUGAGUUAGGAUCCCAAGCGGACGGGCGGCUUACCUUCCACGGCGGCACAGCAGAGACCCUGCCAGGGACCUGAUCUAACAUUCCUUCUCCCACUCGGAGAGAAGGGCAGUGCACACUUUGAACGUUUUCGGCCCAUCCGAGCCCCACUCUUGGGAAUUCGGGACGCUUCCUCCCACCCACCUGGAGAAGAGGAGCCCAAGCAUCACCUGCGUGGCACUGUCCCCCUCCCGGUAGCCAGGGGACCCAAGCCCGCUCUCCUGGGACUGGAUCUGUCAUUUCCGGGUCCCACAGGUAACUUGUACCCUCACUACAAACAGCAGCUCAGCCAGUGUUUCACGCCACGGACGAUUUCACGGCCACCCGGGCACCAGAGGUAUGUCACACCUCACCCCUUCAUCCUUCCUUUGCAAAAUAAGGCUCUCCACACGAGUCGGUGGGUCUGAGCGCUAGGGAAUCCCGCUUUUACAGCCACCCUGUCAAGGGUCCCCAGGAGCACUUCUCACUGUGGUGAUUCUGCAGGAGCCCAGGACUCGGCACAGAGUCACAGCCACGACCUCCUGCAGCGAGACGAUACAAAGCAAACUCAGCAACGGGAAGAGAUGUGCCAGCUUGCGGAGUCGCACGGGACGUGAUCUGCAACGACACGCGUGGGACACCGUCCACCAGGACGCUCGCUGGACGCUCGGCCCCCGGAGCGUUCGCAGGGCCGGGCACAGAGGCGCCCUCCGCCUGGCACGCACCAAACUUCCGGACGCCCAGAAGGAAAGCGGGCGUUCGGCGUAAAGUGCGUGCGUGUGGACACUCCGGGCCCGGGGAGCCCUCUUACCAGCCAGGGCGGCGCGGUGCGGCCCUGGGGGCACGGCCUCUCCAGGGCGGUCAGGCCGGUCGUGCUGCCCCCCUGCCCGCCUCACGGGUCCGGCGGCUGGCAGCGCUGCUUCUCUCCCUUGUUAGCGCUAGUGCUGUUCUGGCGGGUUCCCCGGGACUUAGAAGCACGUCACCUGCAAACGGUUACUUCUUCCUUUCCA